GAGGGUGGGCCCCUCGGAGCCGCCAUGCAGGCGGAGGCUUCAAACAACUUUAGCUGCUGUGGACAAAAGCCAUGGUAGUGAGCGUUAAGGAAAAGGUGAGGCAAGACUUCGUCAGGU
rfam:Desulfosporosinus sp. BRH_c37 BRHa_1006182, whole genome shotgun sequence.